GUUUCCUACGGGAGGCAGCAGUGGGGGAUAUUGCACAAUGGGGGAAACCCUGAUGCAGCGACGCCGCGUGUGGGAAGACGGUCCUCUGGAUUGUAAACCACUGUCCCCAGGGACGAAGAUGACGGUACCUGGGGAGGAAGCCCCGGCUAACUACGUGCCAGCAGCCGCGGUAAUACGUAGGGGGCAAGCGUUAUCCGGAUUUACUGGGUGUAAAGGGAGCGUAGACGGCCCUGCAAGCCAGAUGUGAAAGCCCGGGGCUCAACCCCGGGACUGCAUUUGGAACUGUAAGGCUAGAGUGUCGGAGG
rnacentral:rRNA from 1 species